rnacentral:rRNA from 1 species
UCGCCCGCCGGGGGCGCCUCUGCCCCCCGGCCCGUGCCCGCCGGAGACCCCAGAACGAACCCUGUCUGAAAACGUGCGGCCUGAGUCGAUUGUUUCAAUCAGUAAACCUUUCAACAAUGGAUCUUCUUGGUUCGGGCAUCGAUGAAGAACGCAGCGAAUGCGAAACUAAUUGUGAAUUGCAGAUUUCAGUGAACAUUCGGGUCUUUAACCCCACAUUGCCCCCACUGAAAUCCGGGGGGCAUGCGUUUCCAAGCGUUAUUGCUGCUCUAAAGCCAGGUUGGGUUUGGGACCGCGGUCCCCUCUCUCCGGGGGAGGGCACCGAAAGCAGCGCCGACACCCCGUCCGAUCGUCGAGCGUAUGGGGCUUUGUCACAUGCUCUGUAGGAUUGGCCGGCGCCUGCGACGUUUUCCAACCAUUCUUUCAGGUUGACCUCGGAUCAGGUAGGAU